UUUUAUUUUUUUUUUUCAAUUAAGUGUAACCAGGUAGUAGUGUGAUAAGAGGAGGAAGGGUGUAAGCAAAUUUAAAAUAUGAAAAAAUGAAGCUGCAUAAUAUAUGGUGAAUUGAGAGAGCGUGCAUAAGUCAAGUUUUAAAUACGCUUAAUCCCCUGCAACGUUUUUGAAUAUAUCGGAUGUUGGAUUUAGCUUUGUCAAUAUUAUGAUUUUUUAAAAGUUGUAACUUUUCUUCAUUUGCGGGUGCUUGUUACAUACAUACAUACAUAUAUAGAAUUGUGCGUACUUAAGGAAUUGUUUUUGUACGAAUGUGCAUCGGCAAUGUUGAAAAGUGUUUUUAUUGUGUUUGCAAGAAGUCCAUCUAUUGAAACCUA